rnacentral:rRNA from 1 species
UUGGGAAUCUUGGACAAUGGGGGAAACCCUGAUCCAGCCAUGCCGCGUGAGUGAUGAAGGCCUUCGGGUUGUAAAACUCUUUCGACGGGGACGAUAAUGACGGUACCCGUAGAAGAAGCUCCGGCUAACUUCGUGCCAGCAGCCGCGGUAAUACGAAGGGGGCUAGCGUUGUUCGGAAUUACUGGGCGUAAAGCGCGCGCAGGCGGUUCUCCAAGUCAGUGGUGAAAGCCCGGAGCUCAACUCCGGAACUGCCAUUGAAACUGUUGAACUUGAGGACGAGAGAGGUGAGUGGAAUUCCCAGUGUAGAGGUGAAAUUCGUAGAUAUUGGGAAGAACACCGGUGGCGAAGGCGGCUCACUGGCUCGUAUCUGACGCUCAGGCGCGAUAGCGUGGGGAUCAAACA